GAUGAACGCUGGCGGCGUGCCUAAUACAUGCAAGUCGAGCGAACAGACGAGGAGCUUGCUCCUCUGACGUUAGCGGCGGACGGGUGAGUAACACGUGGAUAACCUACCUAUAAGACUGGGAUAACUUCGGGAAACCGGAGCUAAUACCGGAUAAUAUAUUGAACCGCAUGGUUCAAUAGUGAAAGACGGUUUUGCUGUCACUUAUAGAUGGAUCCGCGCCGCAUUAGCUAGUUGGUAAGGUAACGGCUUACCAAGGCAACGAUGCGUAGCCGACCUGAGAGGAUGAUCGGCCACACUGGAACUGACACACGGUCCAGACUCCUACGGGAGGCAGCAGUAGGGAAUCUUCCGCAAUGGGCGAAAGCCUGACGGAGCAACGCCGCGUGAGUGAUGAAGGUCUUCGGAUCGUAAAACUCUGUUAUUAGGGAAGAACAAAUGUGUAAGUAACUAUGCACGUCUUGACGGUACCUAAUCAGAAAGCCACGGCUAACUACGUG
rnacentral:rRNA from 1 species